GGUUUCGUCGUUUUGUCGAGUCAAGACAAGGAGGAAGUGUGGAGUCAAGUGUUUAAAAGUGAUUCCUGCAUUUUGAUCACUUGGGCUGCAGACCAACCGGUGUAUCUUCCUCAAACGACAGUCCUAUCACAACAGAAGGAAUGAAGCGUGUAUGCGCAGUUCUACAGUAAUAUCUGAUGACGUUCACCUCAACACCGUUGAACUUACAGCAGAGGAUGCACAGUGUCUCAACUCUCAUUCCAACUACUAUCCACUUGACCGGAAG